AGCGGCGCACGGGUGCGGAACACGUGUGCAACCUACCUUUAUCUGGGGGAUAGCCUUUCGAAAGGAAGAUUAAUACCCCAUAAUAUAUUUGAUGGCAUCAUUAAAUAUUGAAAACUCCGGUGGAUAGAGAUGGGCACGCGCAAGAUUAGAUAGUUGGUGAGGUAACGGCUCACCAAGUCAGUGAUCUUUAGGGGGCCUGAGAGGGUGAUCCCCCACACUGGUACUGAGACACGGACCAGACUCC
rnacentral:rRNA from 1 species